AACGGCCAUACCAUGGUGAAUAUACCGGCUCGUUAGAUCACCGAAGUCAAGCAUCAUUGGGCACGGUCAGUACUUGGGUGGGUGACCACCUGGGAACACCGCGUGCUGUUG
rnacentral:rRNA from 1 species